rnacentral:lncRNA from 1 species
GCGUUUUUAAAUAAUCACUGUACAGUUCGUUGACAAAAACCGUCACAAAUCACUUUCUUGUCAAGAUAUUCGAGAUGGUGUCGGCGACUCUUUUUAUGUAUUUUAUUGUAAAUGUUUAUCUGUUAACUUAGUCAAAUUAGUUGAACUUAAAAUGUCAUUCAUACAAAGCCAAAAUUUCAAUGUUUAACCAGCGUACAUCAGAUAGAAAUGUUUCUAUUGAAAAUGGGGACUUUCAACGUUUAUCCAGAUGAAAUGAACAGUUACUAAAUAUAUGUCAGAGGAAAUAAAGUUUCAAAAAGUAGAGUACAGUCAAUAAAACUUUAAUGACUUACUUUUCACAAUUUAAG